rnacentral:rRNA from 1 species
AAACCUGCCCCUGAGGAUUUUCAAGCGGAGUAUGAGCACUGGAAGUGGGUGAUAAGCAAUUCUUAUAUGGAAGGCCUGGGUAUUGAUUGGUCUGCUGUCAGAAAUGUCAUGGACAUGAAAGCUGUGUACGGAGGGUUUGCAGCAGCUUUGCAGGACAUGAAGGUGUGGGUCAUGAAUGUAGUUCCAAUCGACUCACCUGACACGCUCCAAUCAUAUACGAGUGCGGGCUGUUUGGACUCUACCAUGACUAGUACGAGUCGUUUAGCACCUACUCCCUCCGUUCGGAAUUACUUGUCACAAAAAUGGAUGUAUCUACAACUAAAAUACAUCUAG